GAUGAACGCUGGCGGCGUGCCUAAUACAUGCAAGUCGAGCGAAUGGAUUAAGAGCUUGCUCUUAUGAAGUUAGCGGCGGACGGGUGAGUAACACGUGGGUAACCUGCCCAUAAGACUGGGAUAACUCCGGGAAACCAGGGCUAAUACCGGAUAACAUUUUGAACCGCAUGGUUCGAAAUUGAAAGGCGGCUUCGGCUGUCACUUCUGGAUGGACCCGCGUCGCAUUAGCUAGUUGGGGAGGUAACGGACCACCAAGGCAACGCUGCGUAGCCGACCUGAGAGGGGGAUCGGCCACACUGGGACGGAGACACGGCCCAGACUCCUACGGGAGGCAGCAGUAGGGAAUCUUCCGCAAUGGACGAAAGUCUGACGGAGCAACGCCGCGUGAGUGAUGAAGGCUUUCGGGUCGUAAAACUCUGUUGUUAGGGAAGAACAAGUGCUAGUUGAAUAAGCUGGCAUCUUGACGGUACCUAACCAGAAAGCCACGGCUAACUACGUGCCAGCCGCCGCCGUAA
rnacentral:rRNA from 1 species